UACGGAGGGGGCUAGCGUUGUUCGGAAUUACUGGGCGUAAAGCGCGCGUAGGCGGACCUGCAAGUCGGGGGUGAAAGCCCGAGGCUCAACCUCGGAACUGCCUUCGAUACUGCGGGUCUCGAGUCCGGGAGAGGUGAGUGGAAUUCCUAGUGUAGAGGUGAAAUUCGUAGAUAUUAGGAAGAACACCAGUGGCGAAGGCGGCUCACUGGCCUGUUCUUGACGCUGAGGCGCGAAAGCUAGGGGAGCAAACGGG
rnacentral:rRNA from 1 species